rnacentral:misc_RNA from 1 species
GAUGAAGAACGCAGCGAAAUGCGAUAAGUAAUGUGAACUGCAGAAUUCAGUGAAUCAUCGAAUCUUUGAACGCAUCUUGCGCUCCUUGGUAUUCUGAGGAGCAUGCCUGUUUGAGUGUCAUUAAAUUCUCAACUACACUGACUUUGAAUUGGUGUGGCUUGGAUUUGGGGGGAAAAUUGUUGUGGGCUUUUUGUAUAGUCUGCUCCCCUGAAAUUGAUUAGCGGUACCUUUGUGGAACUGUCUACAGGUGUGAUAAUUAUCUACAUCUUAGACAUCUGCUGGAAUGCUGCUCUCUAAACCUUACUUGUAUUGACAAUCUUGACCUCAAAUCAGGUAGGACUACCCGCUGAACUUAAGCAUAUCAAUAAGCGGAGGA